AGUGUCUUUUGGCAAAGACACUUCAAAUGGGCUCUCAGAUUCUGCUUUCCUAAGAAAGUGUGUUGAGGUAGUUCUUUUUCUGAAUGGGCUCUCAGAUUCCGCUCUCCUAAGAAAGAGUGUUGAGGUAGUUGCACCUACCCAGUGAUUAAUGAGGUUAAGCUCCUUUUCGUGUUUAACACCCAAAUUUUAAUAGACUUUAUUCUUUAGACCAGUUCAGGUUCACAGCAAAAUUGGGUGGAAGGUAGAGAGUUUCCUACCCCCAGCCCCUCCACACACACAGACUCCCCCACUGUCUACAUCCCCAUCGGAGUGGUCCAUUUGUUACAGCCGAUAGACAUACGUCAACACAUCAUUAUCACCUGGAGGCCAGUUUACAUGAGGCUUGCUCUUGGUGUUGGACAAAUGCAUAAUGACCUAUAUCCACCAAUUCAGUACCAUGCAGAAGAGUUUCACUGCCCUAAAAAUCCUGUGCCCUGCCCACUCAUUCCUCCCUCCCCUCUCAUCCCUGGCUUUUUACUGUUUCCAGUUUUCCCUUUACUGGAAUGUUGGAGAACUGGACUCCUUCAGGAUGUAGCCUUUCAUGCUUCUUUCAGCAACAUGCACCUAACUUUCCUCCCUGUCUUUGUGGCUUGAUAGCUCAUUUCUUUUUAGUGCCAAAUAAUAUUCUACUGUCUGGAUAUAUCAGUUUACUUAUGCAUUCACCUAUAUGCAUAUAAAAUAGAGGAGAGAAUGCGGUGUUGGAGAUUUACGUUUGGGAGUCUAAACCAUGUAUGGUAAAUAAGUAUAAUGUGUGAAAAUUGUAAAGCAGAAAGCUGUCAGGAUACCUGAAUACACACAAAUACACACUUCAGUUCAUGCUAUGUUAUAAAAUGUGUAAGUACAUACUUAGGGCUGAAAAAGCACCCAGAGAGGAAGGGUGAAGAAGAGGUGUGUCUGAAAUAAUAAAAAGAAAAUUAGGGCUGAGAAAGCACCCAGAGAGGAAGGGUGAAGAAGAGGUGUGUCUGAAAUAAUAAAAAGAAAAUUAGGGCUGAGAAAGCACC
rnacentral:lncRNA from 1 species